GACGAACGCUGGCGGCGUGCCUAAUACAUGCAAGUCGAGCGAAUCAGUAGGAGCUUGCUCCUAUUGGUUAGCGGCGGACGGGUGAGUGACACGUGGGCAACCUGCCUGUAAGACUGGGAUAACUUCGGGAAACCGGAGCUAAUACCGGAUAAUCUUUUCCUUCACAUGAAGGAAAACUAGAAGACGGCGUUACGCUGUCACUUACAGAUGGGCCCGCGGCGCAUUAGCUAGNGGUGAGGUAAUGGCUCACCAAGCGACGAUGCGUAGCGACCUGAGAGGGUGAUCGGCCACACUGGGACUGAGACACGGCCCAGACUCCUACGGGAGGCUAGCAGUAGGGAAUCUUCCACAAUGGACGAAAGCCUGACGCAGCGAC
rnacentral:rRNA from 1 species